rnacentral:rRNA from 1 species
UACGGAGGGUGCAAGCGUUAUCCGGAUUCACUGGGUUUAAAGGGUGCGUAGGUGGCCAGGUAAGUCAGUUGUGAAAUCUCCAAGCUUAACUUGGAAACUGCCGUUGAUACUAUCUGUCUUGAAUACCGUGGAGGUGAGCGGAAUAUGUCAUGUAGCGGUGAAAUGCUUAGAUAUGACAUAGAACACCAAUUGCGAAGGCAGCUCGCUACACGAAUAUUGACACUGAGGCGCGAAAGUGUGGGGAGCAAACAGG